UACGGAAUGUGCAAACGUUAUUCGGAAUCACUGGGCUUAAAGAGUCCGUAGGCGGCAUGUUAGGUGAGGUGUGAAAUCCCCCGGCUCAACCGAGGAAUUGCGCUUCAAACCGGCGUGCUUGAGGAAGAUAGAGGUGGGCGGAACUGAUGGUGGAGCGGUGAAAUGCGUUGAUAUCAUCAAGAACACCGGAGGCGAAGGCGGCCCACUGGGUCUUUUCUGACGCUGAGGGACGAAAGCUAGGGGAGCGAACGGG
rnacentral:rRNA from 1 species